GUGCUGGAGGCUCCGCACCAGGACACCUUCUGGCUGGUCCAGCCCUGGAAGUUUGAAAGUCCUUCAAAGUUACUUGGAAGGAAUAAACACACCCCUGCACACCGAGGCACAGAAGCCUGGCCUUCCCAGCUCAGAGAGUCCUUGGUGGCAAUUUGAGAUGAAACGGCCGUGAUCGAAGAGAGAAAGUGGAGGCGAGGCUUAGCGUCCCACAGAGCAGAGGCCGCUGGUUCCCCGGGAUGGAGGGGCCAGGAGUGAAGACAGCCAUACCAGGCCUGAAUCGCCGGCUCAGGAGACAGAGGCCAGGGCCCAUAGGAGAGGAAGCUCCCGGGUAAGCUCUUCACAGUGCCUAGGCAUUCUGUCUUUGUGCUCCUACAAAACCAGGCUUAUGUUUGCAAAGCGUUGGGAGAAGUCGGAGUUCCCUGGGAACAUCGUGUAUACCAAACAGGGACGCCUUGGAGGAGGGCCCACAGGAUGGGAGAUCCCCAGGCAUCUCCCCAGAAAGCUGAGAAUUCAAAGAAGGACCGAGGCAGAUUUCUGAAUGUUUCCUUGCUCUGUCUUCUCAUCCACACUUUGUUCUGGGGUUGAGGAGGGUGUGGAGUUGGGAAUCCAACCCAAGGCUCCUGGCCUCUCUGCAGACCCCAGAGUCUGCUCAGGAAGCCACAAAACCAGUGCCCACACCAGCAUGUGCCACUCAGGAGAGGAGAAUUCAGGAGGAACGGAAGGCCUGCUCCCCACGGCUCGGCUCCAGGCCAUCUUCCUUCUUGAUGGGGACACCUCCUGCCUUGGAGAGAGGUUUCGCCACAGAAAUGCCUGAUCUGCCCAAGGCCACCCUGCCAGGGACAGUGGUUACUGAUGUUGCCUGCUCUGCAUCCACCGUAGCACAGGGGGAAGGAUGCCUGCCCAAUCCAUGGCACCCUCUCCUGUGUGCCAGCAUGCACAGGCUUCCUCCAUGCACAGGCCAGGGAUGGCUGGCCAAAUACUGUCACCAGGGGAGGCUGUGGGAACUCCCAGAGGGGAUAGCCUUGGCCUCUGUGUGGUCAGACCAUAAGGGCUAGCCUUGGCCUCUGUGUGGUCAGACCAGAAGGGCUAACCUUGACUUCUGUGUGAUCACAUCAGAAAGGCUAGCCUUGUCCUCUGUGUGAUCAGACCAGAAGGGCCAACCUUGGCCUCUCUGUGGUCAGAUAGAAGGGCUAGCCUUGGCCUCUGUGUGAUCAGACCAGAAGGGCUAGCCUUGACUUCUGCGUGAUCAGAUCAGAAGGGCUAGCCUUGACCUCUGUGUAGUCAGAUAGAAGGGCUAGCCUUGGCCUCUGUGUGAUCAGACCAGAAGGGCUAGCGUUGGCCUCUGUGUGGUCAGACCAGAAGGGACAGCCUUGGCCUCUGUGCAGUUGUCCCAGAAGAGCUAGCCUUAGAGAAUGGGACACCCUCCUCAAAGGUUCACCUACCUAACAGUUGUAAUUUUUAAUUUAAUCAUGUUUCUUGAUGUUUUUGGCUGAAUACUUUGGCUAACUAAAUAUAUUUUGUUCAAUGAUACCUAAUAAAAUGUCCCAUCUG
rnacentral:lncRNA from 1 species